GACGAACGCUGGCGGCGUGCUUAACACAUGCAAGUCGAACGAUGAAGCCUAGCUUGCUAGGUGGAUUAGUGGCGAACGGGUGAGUAAUACGUGAGUAACCUACCUUUAACUCUGGGAUAAGCCUGGGAAACUGGGUCUAAUACCGGAUACGACCAAUCUCCGCAUGGGGUGUUGGUGGAAAGCGUUAUGUAGUGGUUAUAGAUGGGCUCACGGCCUAUCAGCUUGUUGGUGAGGUAACGGCUCACCAAGGCGACGACGGGUAGCCGGCCUGAGAGGGUGACCGGCCACACUGGGACUGAGACACGGCCCAGACUCCUACGGGAGGCAGCAGUGGGGAAUAUUGCACAAUGGGCGCAAGCCUGAUGCAGCGACGCCGCGUGAGGGAUGACGGCCUUCGGGUUGUAAACCUCUGUUAGCAGGGAAGAAGAGAGAUUGACGGUACCUGCAGAGAAAGCGCCGGCUAACUACGUGCCAGCAGCCGCGGUAAUACGUAGGGCGCGAGCGUUGUCCGGAAUUAUUGGGCGUAAAGAGCUUGUAGGCGGUUUGUCGCGUCUGCUGUGAAAGGCCGGAGCUUAACUCCGUGUAUUGCAGUGGGUACGGGCAGACUAGAGUGCAGUAGGGGAGACUGGAAUUCCUGGUGUAGCGGUGGAAUGCGCAGAUAUCAGGAGGAACACCGAUGGCGAAGGCAGGUCUCUGGGCUGUAACUGACGCUGAGAAGCGAAAGCAUGGGGAGCGAACAGGAUUAGAUACCCUGGUAGUCCAUGCCGUAAACGUUGGGCACUAGGUGUGGGGAACAUUCCACGUUUUCCGCGCCGUAGCUAACGCAUUAAGUGCCCCGCCUGGGGAGUACGGCCGCAAGGCUAAAACUCAAAGAAAUUGACGGGGCCCGCACAAGCGGCGGAGCAUGCGGAUUAAUUCGAUGCAACGCGAAGAACCUUACCAAGGCUUGACAUAUACUGGACCGCAUCAGAGAUGGUGUUUCCCUUCGGGGCUGGUAUACAGGUGGUGCAUGGUUGUCGUCAGCUCGUGUCGUGAGAUGUUGGGUUAAGUCCCGCAACGAGCGCAACCCUCGUUCUAUGUUGCCAGCACGUAAUGGUGGGGACUCAUAGGAGACUGCCGGGGUCAACUCGGAGGAAGGUGGGGAUGACGUCAAAUCAUCAUGCCCCUUAUGUCUUGGGCUUCACGCAUGCUACAAUGGCCGGUACAGAGGGUUGCGAUACUGUGAGGUGGAGCUAACCCCUAAAAGCCGGUCUCAGUUCGGAUUGGGGUCUGCAACUCGACCCCAUGAAGUCGGAGUCGCUAGUAAUCGCAGAUCAGCAACGCUGCGGUGAAUACGUUCCCGGGCCU
rnacentral:rRNA from 1 species